rnacentral:rRNA from 1 species
UACGUAGGUGGCAAGCGUUAUCCGGAAUUAUUGGGCGUAAAGCGCGCGCAGGCGGUCCUUUAAGUCUGAUGUGAAAGCCCACGGCUCAACCGUGGAGGGUCAUUGGAAACUGGGGGACUUGAGUGCAGAAGAGGAGAGCGGAAUUCCACGUGUAGCGGUGAAAUGCGUAGAGAUGUGGAGGAACACCAGUGGCGAAGGCGGCUCUCUGGUCUGUGAACUGACGCUGAGGCGCGAAAGCG